rnacentral:lncRNA from 1 species
GGACUGCGCGGAAGGGGCUCCCCGGCCGGGGCGAGGCAGGCUCAGCCCAGCAGCGCCAGCCCAGAGCCGAGGCGGCCUCGGAGCGCCUUGCCUCUUGCCCCUCGGGGGACCCUCGGCGGAGAAGCGCGACGAGCCGGCAGCUGCCCUGCUGAGCCAGGCUCCGCCAGACCCCCCCCCCCCCCCGCCAAGACUCCCCGCCCUCUUUUUUGGUCUGGAAGAUCUGGCAACUCGAUCCUAUGGAAAAUCCAGUGGAGAAAAAUUGCUUUCCUCCUCGAAGAACCAGAAACGCAUUCCAACUCUACACUUCUGUGAUUAUAUAAAUGGAACAUCUGCCCAGUUGUGGGGCAACUCUGUGGUUUGGGCAGCGAGUCUCAUACUUUUCUCCUGCAAAACUGGAGUUCUUCGUGCCGGCCUCCUACCUGCCGCACUGUGGUAGUUUGCGCAAGGAGUAGCACUGAUACUUUCCUGGCUGCCUGGUUAUAUGCCAUGUGAGAACUGGGUUAGGGCCCAUUAGGCCACCAGAGUAUAUUGAUGGGUGUUUUCUGCACAUGGCUACUAUGAUGCACCCGUAAACAACAUCAUAUUAGUGGGUGGUGUUGGGAGUUGCCAGAAAUGUGGUGGCGCGGUCUGCUGGUACUGCAAUGGUGGCCUUUGUUCUGCAGUGAAUGUUUUCCUUACGACUAAGAGAGCACUGGGAAUCAGGAUUGGUGUGACUCUUGGCAUAGCAGCAGACUACUCAUAGCAGGAUCUGAGGAGCAUCCUGUCAAUCAGUGUUCCUGGAAAAAUCUUUCGGCCUGGCAAACUGCUUGAGGCAGACCUCACUAAGAGUCUCUGUAUUUGUGGAAAGUUCAAACGUAAUUUGAUUAUGAAACAUGGACUUGAAACAAGUGAAAAUGGUUUGCUUGACAUGCACACUCUUAAAUCUGAGCAGUGUGUCACAGCAUGCGUGUGGUACUUCUAGUCACCAGACCACAGGAACAUGCAACUUCCAAAUGUCCAAAUGAGAGAGGGGAAGAAUUCAGCAUUGAAAAUGCAGGAUAUGUUACAAGAAGUUCAAAGAGACCAAAGCUUCAUAGCAUAAAAGGCAUGUGCCAGAGGUAGCUGGAGGGAGUCACUGUUCCCAGUGGCUUAUAAUAUGCUAAUGCUAGAAGCCUCUAAGCCAGAGAUGAAGAACCUGUGGCAAUACACAUGUUCACUGACCUAAGCUCUGUAAAGGCAAGGCAACAACAAAAAAUGUUUAAGGUUUUAUUGAAUUCUAGAACUGAAGGGGCCAAGCAAACAUUAACUGGAAGAGUUAAGACCCUGUCCCAUAUGCUCACCAGCAUAACCAAUAUCACCUAAGAAUCAGAUCUUUUUCAAAACAAAUAUGUCUUUAUUUAUAAAAUCAUGAUUUACACAGAAAUAAUAAUUUACAUGAAUAAAUCUGAUAUUACUAAAAUCAGCAUUGUAAUAUAUAAAAAAUGCCCAAAUUAUGUUUUGUAAAUUUGAAUCAUAGAACAUAUCAUUCCUCUUAUAAAUCAGAUAGGUCGAUUUGUCCAUUUCUGCUCAUUCAAGACACUUCCUUAUCCAUUCCCAUAUGGUUGGAGAAUCUUUCCACUGCUGCAGUCAAGAAAAUCUUUCCUGAUUCUGCAGAUACCUUCUCAUUGAUCCAAUUAAAUAAAAUCAACAUAGGAUAGAGUCUCACAUUAUGCGAUGCAAGACUCAUCUCCAAAAUUCAGAGGUACACUGGCAAUCACACCACAUAUGUGUUAGAUGCAUGUUUACUGCAAAACACUUCUAGCAUUCAAACCCAGAAUCUUUAUACAUUCCGUUCAGCCUGAUGGGACUUAAAUACCAACAGCAAAGGUUUAAAUUGAGCUUAACAUAUUGACAAACUCGGUGAUAUCUCACAAAACACUAUAUCCAGGGUUAUCUUGAGUCUUAGAUGGUGAAAUCCAGUUGUCGCUCCCCACCUUAACCUGGCUACUGACUCCACCAACAGGCCACAGGGGGUUGGGGUUCUUUUGCUAGCAGACCCUUCAACUUAUUAUUUUUAUUAGCACUUCCCAUGCUGUCAUCUUCAUUAUCAUCCAUGUAGGACUUAUAGCUGCCAAAAGCAAUACUCCUUUGCUGGAAAUAUUGAAACCAUGGUGGUAACCAUCUUUCUACAAUUUGAGCUAUCUCAUUCCAGUUACCAUUCUUCUGUUAUCUUUUAAAUCCUUAAAUUUAUGUUCCCACUUUUCUUAAAUUAGCAAAUCUGAUGGUUAAUUUCCUAUUUGAAAUCUAUUAUUUAAAUAAUAAUUUAUUUAAAUUUC